AGAUGGUGAACUAUGCCUGAAUAGGGCGAAGCCAGGGGAAACCCUGGUGGAAGCCCGCAGCGAUUCUGACGUGCAAAUCGAUCGUCAAAUUUGGGUAUAGGGGCGAAAGACUAAUCGAACCGUCUAGUAGCUGGUUCCCUCCGAAGUUUCCCUCAGGAUAGCUGGAGCCCGGUGCAGUUUUAUCAGGUAAAGCGAAUGAUUAGAGGUCUCGGGGUCGAAACGACCUCGACCUAUUCUCAAACUUUAAAUGGGUAAGAGGUCCGGCUUGCUCGGUUGAAGUCGGACGUGGAAUGCCGGGGCUCCUAGUGGGCCAUUUUUGGUAAGCAGAACUGGCGAUGUGGGAUGAACCGAAAGCCGGGUUAAGGUGCCCGAAUCGACGCUCAGCA
rnacentral:rRNA from 2 species